rnacentral:rRNA from 1 species
UGUGACCUCAAAUCAGGUAGGACUACCCGCUGAACUUAAGCAUAUCAAUAAGCGGAGGAAAAGAAACUAACAAGGAUUCCCCUAGUAACUGCGAGUGAAGCGGGAAAAGCUCAAAUUUAAAAUCUGGCGGUCUUUUGGCUGUCCGAGUUGUAAUCUAGAGAAGUGCUAUCCGCGCUGGACCGUGUACAAGUCUCCUGGAAUGGAGCAUCAUAGAGGGUGAGAAUCCCGUCUUUGACAUGGACUACCAGGGCUUUGUGAUGCGCUCUCAAAGAGUCGAGUUGUUUGGGAAUGCAGCUCAAAAUGGGUGGUAAAUUCCAUCUAAAGCUAAAUAUUGGCGAGAGACCGAUAGCGAACAAGUACCGUGAGGGAAAGAUGAAAAGAACUUUGGAAAGAGAGUUAAACAGUACGUGAAAUUGCUGAAAGGGAAACGCUUGAAGUCAGUCGCGUCAUCCAGGGAUCAACCUUGCUUUUGCUUGGUGCACUUUCUGGUUUGAUGGGUCAGCAUCAAUUUUGACCAUUGGAAAAAGGUCAAGGGAAUGUGGCAUCUUUGGAUGUGUUAUAGCCCUUGGUCACAUACAAUGGCUGGGAUUGAGGAACUCAGCACGCCGCAAGGCCGGG